GUCAGACGAUGACCGGCUGGCCACGCGUGUAGGUGGGUCCGUCUGCGUACGAGAUGGCAUUGACCAGCUCAGCUCGCCGGUGGCCAGGGUUACCAGCACCUCGUCCCCACCAUACGGCUGCUCGUACGUGUCACGCAGGUACGCGCCGAUCGGCUUGGGCGAAGGGGGACCCAUCCUGAGCGCAGCCGGAGAGCAGCAGGGGCAGCGCGAGCAGGAUGGGGAGUCACCAAUGGCGGGUCGGGCGUUGGGUCCAAGGCAUACUUUGACCCACCAUAUCUGCACUUCUGUACA
rnacentral:sRNA from 1 species